rnacentral:misc_RNA from 1 species
GAAAUGCGAUAAUUAAUGUGAAUUGCAGAAUUCAGUGAAUCAUCGAGUCUUUGAACGCACAUUGCGCCCCCUGGUAUUCCGGGGGGCAUGCCUGUCCGAGCGUCAUUGCUGCCCUCAAGCACGGCUUGUGUGUUGGGCUUCCGUCCCUGGCAACGGGGACGGGCCCAAAAGGCAGUGGCGGCACCAUGUCUGGUCCUCGAGCGUAUGGGUCUUUGUCACCCGCUCCCGUAGGUCCAGCUGGCAGCUAGCCUCGCAACCAAUCUUUUUAACCAGGUUGACCUCGGAUCAGGUAGGGAUACCCGCUGAACUUAAGC